AACGAACGCUGGCGGCAUGCCUAACACAUGCAAGUCGAACGAGACCUUCGGGUCUAGUGGCGCACGGGUGCGUAACGCGUGGGAACCUGCCCUUAGGUUCGGAAUAACUCCCCGAAAGGGGUGCUAACACCGGAUAAUGUCUCCGGACCAAAGAUUUAUCGCCUUUGGAUGGGCCCGCGUUGGAUUAGCUAGUUGGUAGGGUAAAAGCCUACCAAGGCGACGAUCCAUAGCUGGUCUGAGAGGAUGAUCAGCCACACUGGGACUGAGACACGGCCCAGACUCCUACGGGAGGCAGCAGUAGGGAAUAUUGGGCAAUGGGCGAAAGCCUGAUCCAGCAAUGCCGCGUGAGUGAUGAAGGCCUUAGGGUUGUAAAGCUCUUUUACCCGGGAUGAUAAUGACAGUACCGGGAGAAUAAGCUCCGGCUAACUCCGUG
rnacentral:rRNA from 1 species